AACUUCAAGGACUAAAAGAGACACUUUUCCACUUAAUAUCAUCACCUACACAAUGAAUAUUCAUUCAUUUAAAAACUUAUUUGCAGCAAAUGGAAAAAAAUUCGUAACUCUCUUCACCAUUUCCUCCCAAAUCUUCAAAAUACCAUAUCUCCUUCAUUUCUAGUCCGAAUUGAGCGAUUCUUGCGGCCACGGAACGAGAAAAUGAUUUUCUACUGAUCUAUGGCUUCAAUUUGAGGUGUUUAUAAGCUUGAAUUGGAUGCAAAUUUAUGAUGGAGCUAAGGUUUUCAAGGUGAAAGUGAGCUUUAAUGGAGGAUUGUUGAUGAGGAAUUGAAGCUUGGAAGCUUCGGCCAUGGAGUAUCUUUAAGAUCGGACGAGCGACUAUCGACGAGACUUGAGAAACAAAAACGGAUCGAGAUAUCGUCAUGCUUAUUUGAAGAGUUUGGAUAGCAAGUGGGAUAGUAUGAUAUGAUUUGAAGAGUCAAGCUUCCGAAAUUUUAAUUCUCGGAAGUCAUUUGUACAAGAAGAAAAGAAUGUUUUCAUUCUAGCAGUCCGCAGUAGUCUAGAUAUUUUAACUAGAAUUUUGUAUAACGCGUUUUAACUCUGAUAUUAUUUGUAAAUGGUGUCACAUGUAUUUUAAUAUAUGAAAUAUGUUUUGAUU